rnacentral:lncRNA from 1 species
AGUGCUGCUGGUGCCGGAGUCCGGAAGCUGACGGCGUUGCCUAGGCUGGAUUGCAGCGGUGCGAUCAGGACUCAUUGCAUCCUCAACCUCCCCGACUCAAGCAGUCCUCCCACCUCAGCCUCCUGAGUAGCAAGGCUACAGGAAAAACAAAUAAUCCUCAGCACUGAAGUUCAAAGCCAUGGUUCCUGCGUGUUCCUUAACAUGACACAGGUGGGCCUUCAUUGAAAACACCUUCAGCUCCUCCAGCUCAAUUCUCAUGAAAACAAACAGCGGUGCCCUUUGCCCAAGGUGGAAGAGGUGGCCGUGAAAUCCUCAUCAGCUUCCUGUAUAUUGCAGAACCUCAAUCAGGCCGUGCUGCAGGGGUGAGGACCUGGUCGUCCACCUGGAGCUCACCAGGGGAAAUAGGGGCAGUGUCCCGCAGGCAGUGAACUGGCACAGCACCCCUGCCCCUGACCCUCGCCAUUGCCAUUGUGAUGGGGGAGGGGUCAGGGCCCCUCUGCACAGUCCAAGCCACAGCAAAAUCUGGGAAGUCUCCUGGUCUUUGCCCAGGAAACAGCCUUCCUAGACAGGCUCUGAAUUAUUCACCUCUUCCCCUUCAUAUUACAACUGCCACUCAGACGUGAAGGUGCAGCACAAAGCUUCAGAAACAAUGGAAGAAACUGAAAUCAGGAUCCUGACUCCUGCAUGGGAAAGCUAUAGCUGUGUGACUUUGUGCAAAUCACACACCUGUUCUGUGUCUUGCGUCUGCAUCUGUGAAAUGCAGGUGAACCUAGCACUUACCUUUGAGGGCUCCUUGGAGAAUUAAAUGAAUUAAUUCAUACAAAGGACUUAGAGAGAUGUCCGGCACUGAGUAAACACUCAGUGCUAGCUGUUAUGAUGAUGAUUAAAGAUAAUCAAAGCUUGUGCUUUUUAAUAGACAAUUUUUUUUGGAACAGUUCUAGAUUCACUACAAACUUGAGAGGAAGGUACAGUGAUUUUUCAUAGCCUCCCUACCUCCCCCCAUCAUCAACAUCCCCCACCAGAGUGAUAUGUUUGCUACAACUGAUGAACCUACAUUGACAUACCAUCAUCACUCAAAGUUCAUAGUUUACAUUAGGGUUCACUCUUGGUGCUGUGCAUUCUAUGGAUUUGGACAAAUGUAUAAUGCCAGGUACCCACAAUUAUAGUAUCAUACAAAAUAUUUUCACUGCCCUGAAAAUUCUCCAUGCUUCUCUUCUUUAUCCCUCCUUCCCCGUAGCCGCAAGCAACUACUCAUCUUUACAAUCUCCAUAGUUUCGCCUUUUCCAGAAUGUUACAUAGUUGGAAUCACACAGCAUGUAGCCUUUCAGAUUAGCUUCUUUCUCUUAGUAAUAUGCACGUAUGCCUCUUCCAUGUCUUUUCAUGGCUUGAUAGCUCAUUUAUCUUUAGUACUGACUAAUACUCUGUUGUCUGGAUGUACCACAGUUUAUUUAUUCACAUACUGAAGAACAUCUUGGUUGCUUCCAAGUUUUGCCAGUCAUGAAGAAAUCUGCUAUAAACAUUGUAUGCCUGUUUUUGGGUAGAAAGCCUUAUUUUUUAUUACAUUAAACAUGUAAUAUAUGGAGUUUACCUCUGCCAUUUCAGAGUGCCCAACACACAGCAGGAUUGUUACUUGGUUUUCAACUCCUGACUCUUUUCCAAAUGUCUAGUGCAGAUUUCUGUGCCUAGGUGGGUAACAGUGGGAACUUCUGGGACCCCCAGCUGUUGGUCUGACCUUCAUUCAGUAUCCUUCUGGUCAGUCACAUCUCUCAUCUUUGCAUUUGACUCUGCUCUUAAUGCCAAUGAAUCUAAAAACUCAGACAUAGCUUGUCCCUACAUCUUUAGUGAGUUUGUUCAUGCUUUCACAAUAGUCUUGAAUUUCAGGAAAAAAAGUAUAUCAUUCAAUGAUGGCAACAUAAUGCUGCAGAGUUUGGUUACAUAGAAUAUUCUGAUGCAUGAAAAUGAUGUGCAAAUAAAAAAGUGAUAAAGAUGGUCAAAGAUAUACAGGAGGCACUACUGAUAGAAAUGAGUUUAAAUUUAGGAAAAAGGGCAAAUUUACUUAGGGAAUAGAGGUGCUAGAAAUCUAUAAUGAAAUUGCCACAUUACUCUUGAGUAUACACAGAUUGAAAGACUGUGAAGUGGUGAUUGCAAAUGUUCAGGGUUUUUUAAUUAUACUUUAAGUUUUAGGGUACAUGUGCACACGUGCAGGUUUGUUACAUAUGUAUACAUGUGCCAUGUUGGUGUGCUGCACCCAUUAACUCGUCAUUUACAUUAGGUAUAUCUCCUAAUUCUAUCCCUCCCCCUCCCCCCACCCCACAACAGGCCCCAGUGUGUGAUGUUCCCCUUCCUGUGUCCAUGUGUCCUCAUUGUUCAAUUCCCAUCUAUAAGUGAGAACAUGCAGUGUUCGGUUUUUUGUCCUUGCGAUAGUUUGCUGAGAAUGAUGGUUUCCAGUUUCAUCCAUGUCCCUACAAAGGACAUGAACUCAUCCUUUUUUAUGGCUGCAUAGUAUCCCAUUGUGUAUAUGUGCCACAUUUUCUUAAUCCAGUCUAUCAUUGUUGGACAUUUGGGUUGGUUCCAAGUCUUUGCUAUUGUGAAUAGUGCCACAAUAAGCAUACGUGUGCAUGUGUCUUUAUAGCAGCAUGAUUUAUAAUCCUUUGGGUAUAUACCCAGUAAUGGGAUGGCUGGGUCAAAUGGUAUUUCUAGUUCUAGAUCCCUGAGGAAUCGCCACACUGACUUCCACAAUGGUUGAACUAGUUUAUAGUCCCACCAACAGUGUAAAAGUGUUCCUAUUUCUCCACAUCCUCUCCAGCACCUGUUGUUCCCUGACUUUUUAAUGAUCACCAUUCUAACUGGUGUGAGAUGGUAUCUCAAUGUGGCUUUGAUUUGCAUUUCUCUGAUGGCCAGUGAUGAUGAGCAUGUUUUCAUGUCUUUUGGCUGCAUAGAUGUCUUCUUUUGUGAAGGGUCUGUUCAUAUCCUACACCCACUUGUUGAUGGGGUUGUUUGUUUUUUUCUUAUAAAUUUGUUUGAGUUCUUUGUAGAUUCUGGAUAUUAGCCCUUUGUCAGAUGAGUAGAUUGCACAAAUUUUCUCCCAUUCUGUAGGUUGCCUGUUCACUCUGAUGGUAGUUUCUUUUGCUGUUCAGAAGCUCUUUAGUUUAAUUAGAUCCCAUUUGUCAAUUUUGGCUUUCAUUGCCAUUGCUUUUGGUGUUUUAGACAUGAAGUCCUUGCCCAUGCCUAUGUCCUGAAUGUUAUUGCCUAGGUUUUCUUCUAGGGUUUUUAUGGUUUUAGGUCUAACAUUCAAGUCUUUAAUCCAUCUUGAAUUAAUUUUUGUAUAAGGUGUAAGGAAGGGAUCCAGUUUCAGCUUUCUACAUAUGGCUAGCCAAUUUUCCCAGAGACCAAUGACUUUCUUCACAGAAUUGGAAAAAACUACUUUAAAGUUCAUAUGGAACCAAAAAAGAGCCCUUAUUGCCAAGUCAAUCCUAAGCCAAAAGAACAAAGCUGGAGGCAUCACGCUACCUGGCUUCAAACUAUACUACAAGGCUACAGUAACCAAAACAGCAUGGUACUGGUACCAAAACAGAGAUAUAGACCAAUUGAACAGAACAGAGCCCUCAGAAAUAAUGCCACAUAUGUACAACUAUCUGAUCUUUGACAAAUCUGACAAAAACAAGAAGUGGGGAAAGCGAAUAUUCAGUUUUGAUGAAGUUGCUUUAAAUGAUUCGUUUGGAGAUGAGGCUGAAUUUUUAAAAAUAUCCAAACAAUUUUAAGCAAAAAGAGCAGAAAUAAAUGCCUGAAAAUUAUGUAUAGAAAAAUAGAAAAAAGUAGGACAACUUUAUCACCUCAAACCAAGAGUUUAAUGAGAUAUAUAAAGCUGCAUUAAAAAGCUGAAAAUUUGAGAAACUGCUCACAUGAUGCACCAAAAUUUCCAGGAAGAGGAAAACUAGAGAUAAGAAUUUUCAUUUGGCACAAAUUUUCCUCUUGAACUACUUGUUUUCAAUUAAAUGAUCAGUUACUCCCUGGAGUAACAAUGAUGUUAGACCCCUUGAGGUUGACUCUAGAUCAUUCCUUGGGAAAAUGGCGGUGAUCCCUUCUCACAUGUGAGAUGAGGCCAGUCUUACUGGAUGGGCUUCCCAACAGCUUUCUCCUUCCCUUACACUGUGGCCUUGGGUAGGUCUCUUUUGCUUUAGGAGCUUUAAUGCCUCUAUCUGGGCAAUGAGGAAUGAGGGGAUUUGACCACAUAUUCUUUGAGGGUCUUCUUCCCUUUUAUGAGUUUUCAAACACUACUGUGCACCAUCAAUCUCAAAACAAUUACCCAAGACAUAAUUUUAAAAUUAUUUUAUUUCAGUAGUUUUUGAGAGACAGGUGGUUUCUGCUUACAUGGAUAAGUUCUCUAGUGGUGAUUUCUGAGAUUUUAGUGCAGGCAUCACCUGAGCAGUGUACACUGUACCCAAUAUGUAGUCUUUUAUCUCUCACCCCACUCCUCACCUUCCCCACCGACUCCCAAAAGUCCAUUAUAUCACUCUUAUGCCUCUACAUUCUCAUAGUUUAACUCCCACUUAUAAGUGAGAAGAUAUGGUAUUUGGUUUUCUAUUCCUGAGUUACUUCACUUAGAAUAAUGGCCUCCAGUUUCAUCCAAGUUGCUGCAAAAGGCAUUAUUUUGUUCUUUUUUUUAUGGCUGAGUAGUAUUCCCUGGUGUACAUGUACCACAUUUUAUUGAUCCAUUCAUUGGCCAUUGGGCACUUAGGUUGGUUCCAUAUCUUUGCAAUUGCGACUUGUGCUGCUAUAAAUAUGCAUGCACAGGUGUCUUUUUAAUAUAAUGACUUCUUUUCUUUUGGGUAGAUACCUAGUAGUGGGAUUGCUGGAUUGAAUGGUAGUUCUACUUUUAUUUCCUUAAGGAAUCUCCAUAUCAUUUUCCAUAGUGGUUGUAUUAAUUUACAUUCCUACCAGCAGUGUAAAAGUGUUCCCUUUUCACCACAUCAAUCCCAACAGCUAUGGUUUUUUUGACAUCUUAAUUAUGGCCAUUCUUGCAGGAAUAAGGUGGUAUCUCAUUGCGGUUUUAAUUUGCCUUUCCCUGAUGAUUAGUGAUGUUGAACGUUUUUUCAUGUUUGUUGGAUGUUCAUAUCUUCUUUUGAAAAAUGUCUAUUUGUGUCGUUUGCCCACUUUUUGAUGGGAUUAUUAUUAUUAUUUUUUCUAGCUUAUUUGAGUUCCUUGUAGAUUUCGGAUACUAGUCUUUUGCCAAGACAUGAUUUUGUUAGUCACAAAGUUCCUUUGCCUUAUUUCCUCCAGUCAAGGAUCAUCUUAAUGAUGAACUCACUAAUGCCCAAGCUCAAAAGUGACAGAGAGGAUUCUGGGGAGGUACACAGAGAGGCUUCUGAUUGUGAUCAAAAGAGGUGGCCCACAUGUUGAAAAUAGCAGAAAGUUUACUCAUACAAUAAUCCCAUAAAUUGUAAUAACUCCCAUCAAAAACUGUAAAGGUUGAACUGCUCGUUAUACUUUCAUGCCCAGCCUUCAGACUGCCAUUUUCUGAUUGUUUUACCUCCACGGCUGUCCUUAACAUACACUGUAACCAAUUUUUACUUUGAAAUAAUCAUAUACCAUUGUGUGUGCGUGUGUCCUGCUAUCUGUACAUCUCUUGUUCAAGGCAAUGUUGAAUUGUGCUUGUUUGAGUACAUUAACAUUUCCCUCUCAAAUGGACUUAUUUAUAAAGCACAAUAUGUUAUGCAUAGGCUGACCACUUUAUCCCUGUCUUAAAAUGAGUGAAGUAUAUUGGGUGCAUGGAUAAUGAUCACUUUUAAUUUUUCUUUUUCUCCUCUUUAUGGCAGUGUCUGGCAACAUUCCCCUAUGAUUUUAUAUUGAAUGGAAUAAACAUGUUGUAGGGAGAAAGGGAAAUUUGGGAUGGAGGGUGAUAUGAGCAGUUACCCACUCCUUUGUGCAAAGAGAACACUAUCCUUGCAUCAUACAUUGAACAGCAGUUUACCAAUGAUGUCAAUUUAUUUUACAAUGGCCUCAAAAUGAGUAGGGAUUAUUAUUCCUUUGAACAUGUGAGAAAACAGAGGCCAAGAAAGUUACAUUAACAGGUCAAGUAUUUCCAACAUAUCCGUGUAUGUAGGCAUGAGCACACACUGAGUAAUUUGUCCUGAACCACCCCUUUUCUAAGGAAGUCCUUCCUAAUGUAAUAUAUCCUGAAGGGCAGCUUCUAGGGCAAAGUAACAUGAUAGUAGAUGGCAGUCUUCCAAGGAGUUACUGGUUUCCCUAGGUCUCUAGUUCCUUGCUUAUGUGAGUAUUAAGGCAAAUUGAGUGGGAUAUUGCAGCACUGGGUUAUCACUCACAUGCUAACUUGCGUGGGAAAAUGUCUCCCCUGCAAAGAUUAAUUAAGAAUCAGUCCUUUGGAAUUCUGUGCUUUAAAGUGAAUUACUGGUGGUUUCUGUGAAGUUAAAGGGACAGACACUGCUUUUAAUGGUUGUUAAAUGGAAACUACAGAGGAGUGUAAGUGGGCGGUACAGCUGCAUUUGUAAAAAUUCAGGUUGUUUUUAAUUAACACCACAUGAAGCAUCCAGCCACAGCAUAUUCCCCCAGUUCAAUGAUGUCUGUAGGUACUGGAGGCCAGAAUUCUUAAAAUUGCUUCCAUGUUGUGCUAGAUGCAGCAGUGAUUGAGUACUAUUGCUCAGGGCAAUUGGGGUAAUAGGAACCUCAUCAGUUAGCUAAAGAGGUGUGGAUAGGAGAUUGGGGUAAAAAGGUCAAACCUGGUCCAAGGCUGGUUUCAGAGCCAGGUAUCCCCACCUGGCAGUAACCAGGGAGUAAGGAUUUACCCUUAACAACUCAGCUGGCCUCAAGCCUUCAAGGCCUGGAAAAGGAAAAUGCUUCUGGGUUCACAUGGCCAGGCAGGCUGGAGUCUAGACACAGGAGCACUGAUCAUUGCUUUUCCUUUCACAGAUGAAGAACUCAAAAGGCACAAGGAGGUUACACCAGUUGUUCAAGGCAUGGGGGGGUGGCCCACAAUCCUGCUGCUGCUGCUCUUCCCUUCAGGUGGAUGACUCAGUCUUUUCCACAAAUUUAAGGUAGAAAAGGGUAGUCAGUUUUAAUGCCAUGCAGAGCAGACUCACUUUGCAUUUAUCAUUGAAAAGUAGGAGGUCAAAGAAUUGACAGUAGUUGAAUAAUCAUUAUACAGGCAGUCAAGCCUCACUGAUUUGAAUCAGUGGAGUGGGACUGGUCUGAUUAUAAAGAUUUACAAGAAAUGCAUCUCAAUAAAUUUAGGAUGCAAUUAGGGUCAGAUAAGUAUGAGAUAAGUGUAGGUAAAAAAGCAUACUAAGUGAGUGUAAAAAGUCCUCCAUGCUUUAAAGUUUUUUUUUUUUUUUUUUUUUUUAACUAGGUCAAGCACAACCCAUGCUAGCUAGUUUACACUAUUAAUUUACUUCUCAGGUAGCUAUUGCAAAGAUAAAUGUAAGCCUGGAUUUUGCCCAACUUUUCAGAAAUUUGGACUAGGGGAAUCUGGACCAGGCUUGAAAUGGUGUAUGAUAAAAGCAGGAUUUCAUUAGAGUGGGUCAAAAACUAGGGCUCUGAAAUAAAGAUAGGCAUAUGAAAUUCAAUUCAAAAAUAUUUAAUGACAUCUACUAUGUGAAAAGCACAGGGCAAGGCUGUAAGGGGUAUAGAGAUGAAGCAUAUAUAGAAAGCAACUUAUACAGAGUGGAUAUAACCCUCACAUAUGCAACUGUGGUUAAUGUGCAUGGUAAGAAUGGGAGACUGGGAUGACCUGACUAGCCUUGGGUGCCUAAGGAGAUGAUGGGGAGCCAGGGAAAGUUUUUGAUUAGGGGAACAACAUGACCAGAGCUGUGGUUUUCUUUCUGAAUAUUUUAAGUUCCAGGGUACAUGUGCAGAAUGUGCAGGUUUGUUACAUAGGUAUACACAUGCCAUGGUGGUUUCCUGCACCCAUCAACCCAUCAUCUACAUUAGGUAUUUCUCCUAAUGCUAUCCCUCCCCUAGCCCCCCACCCCUAAACAGGCCCCAGUGUGUGAUGUUCCCCUCCCUGUGUCCAUGUGUUCUCAUUGUUCAGCUCCUACUUAUGAGUGAGAACAUGCGGUGUUUGGUUUUCUGUUCUUGUGUUAGUUUGCUGAGAAUGAUGGUUUCCAGCUUCAUCCAUGUCCCUGCAAAGGACAUGAACUCAUCCUUUUUAUGGCUGCAUAGUAUUCCAUGGUGUAUAUGUGUCACAUUUUCUUUAUCCAGUCUAUUAUUGAUGGGCAUUUGUGUGGUUCCAAGUCUUUGCCAUUGUGAACAGUGCCACAGUAAACAUGUGUGCAUGUGUCUUUAUAGUAGAAUGAUUUAUAAUCCUUUGGGUAUAUACCCAGUAAUGGGAUUGCUGGGUCAAAUGGUAUUUCUAGUUCUAGAUCCUUGAGAAAUCAUCACACUGUCUUCCACAAUGGUUGAACUAAUUUACACUCCCACCGACAGUGUAAAAGUGUUCCUAUUUCUCCACAUCCUCUCCAGCAUCUGUUGUUUCCUGACUUUUUUUUUUCUUUUCUUUGAGAUGGAGUUUUGCUCAGUUGCUCAGGCUGGAGUGCAGUGGCGAGAUCUCGGUUCACUGCAAGCUCUGCCUCCCAGGUUCACACCAUUCUCCUGCCUCGGCCUCCCGAGUAGCUGGGUAUACAGGCGCCCGCCACCAUGCCCAGCUAUUUUUUUUUUUUUUUUGUAUUUUUAGUAGAGACGGGGUUUCACUGUGUUAGCCAGGAUAGUCUCAAUCUCCUGACCUUGUGCAUUCUGCCUGCCUUGGCCUCCCAAAGUGCUGGGAUUACAGGCGUGAGCCACCACACCCGGCCCUCCUGACUUUUUAAUGAUCACCAUUCUAACUGGCGUGAGAUGGUAUCUCAUUGUGGUUUUGACUUGUGUUUCCCUAAUGACCAGUGAUGAUGAGCUUUUUUUCAUCUUUGUUGGCUGCAUACAGAAUGGGAGAAAAUUUUUGCAAUCUAUCCAUCUGACAAAGGGCUAAUAUCCAGAAUCUACAAAGAACUUAAACAAAUUUACAAGAAGAAAACAACCCCAUCAAAAAGUAGGUGAAGGAUAUAAAGAGACACUUCUCAAAGAAGACAUUUACACAGCCAGAGCUGUGUUUUAAGAGCAGUCACAGAUGUGAGAAUCUGAACAGGCGGUUAAGGAAUUGCUGCAUUGUUUGAAUGAAAAGCCUGGUCCAAGAAUUAUAAGCCAUGGAAGUUAACUGGAUGUGAAGAAAGGAAAAGGCCUCAAAAGAGGCCCUGAGACUUUCAGCCUGGGAGAUUUGGCAUGAUGAUAAGGGUCGGUCAUGUAACCAGGGAGGGGACUGCAUUGAAGACAGUUUUGGCUUUGGACAUUUGACUGUGAUCCCCGUGGGUUGCACAGUUGGAGACAUGCAGUGCACUUGGUAUAUGGUCUUGACUUUGAUGAAGCUGGAUCUAAAUUACAAAUUUGAGAAUCAGCUGCACAGAGGUAAGAUAUGAAUGUGGGAAUUAGAGGUAGAGAGUGAAUAAAAGCAAAGAGCUGGGGUCUGAACAGUGGGUAAUUAAUCCUAUGUUUAGAAAGUGGUACAUGUGGUCUGUUUAUUCUCUGUACCUCUAACUCUGACUGAGGAUAAAAAAGGGACCAGUGAGUUUUUCUGCAACGAGUUAUACGAUUACGUGGUGCAGUCAAUGACUACAUUUCCUCUAUGCUGACAGAUUAUCUUUAAAUUACAAUAAAAAUGAUCCUAUGGUCAUUCCCAGUUUUUGCUUUUCUUUUCUCUGUCUGUGCUAAAUGCACUUUGGGCUCUUGAUUUACUGUUAGAAAUUUCCUGUGUAGUUUGGGGCCGAGAGUCAGGGGGUCAGGUUUUGGGAUUUGAAACCCAAACAAAUCUUUCCCUGCUUCCUACAGUACUCUCAAAUUAAUUUAGGGGUCAGAGGAUAUCCUGUGAAAAUAUCAAGAGGAACCUAGACUUUUGUUUCUGCGGGGAUCUGAAAGAAACGCACAUUUGAAGAAACGCAUGAAGUUCAUUCCAGGGUAGUCAAAUUCUACUAAUGACUGAGAACAUUUAUGUACCAACUAUCAGAAUCAAUUUCUGAAAUAAAUAUGUGAAAAGAUAAGCAUGCUUAACUUUACUGAAGAAGUUACAGAAGAUGAGAUGCAGUACAGGAAAUCCAAGAACCCAGAUCAAACAUUAAAACAUAAACAAAAUAAGAAAAUUUUAUUUUGGCCCAUCCAAUUUAACUAAUGUUUACCAAGUGCCUACUACACUUUUUGUGCUUUGACCACAAAAAACAUAAAGCGUUACCAGAAUGUGGAUGGGUACUCUACAAAAUUAGUCAUGAUUUCUGUUCUCAGGGAGUACACUAAUGUGUGAACUUAUAUAUAAAUAACAACAAUAGCAAAGACAACAAUAAACCAACUGUAAUGCAAUGUAAAGUGAAAUCAGUGGUGAGCUGAGUCAAAGAAGCACAGAGUAUGAGGGGUGAUACCAUUAGUUCUGACUAGAGGAUCAAGAAGGUUUUCUCGGGAGAGGUGGCCUUUGAGCGACAUCCUUGAGGAUAGUAAUGGCAAGCACAGUAGUAGGUGGUGGUGGUGACGAUGAUGAUGAUGGUGAAAAGAGCAGCUGCCAAUCACUAAAUUCUUAUGAUUUACCUAGCUCUAUAUUGUUUGCUGAAGAACUUCUAUGUUAUUAAUAUUUUAACUGGUAAAGCACAGGAAGGGGAUUUCAGAUAAUAAAAAGAAUGGAAUAAACAUGUUUGUGUGUUGGUAGGUGUAGAACGGAGAGUCAUUUGGUGUGUUCAAGGUCCACUGUGCAUGGUGGGUUGUAGUACAAAAUAAGAUUGAAAGAGGAGUAGGAACCAGAGCAGCAAAAAGCUGCCAAUGCUUUAUGAAUUACACAAGUCAUACGUAGAGCUCUCUGGUUACUUGUGUGGAAAGUUGACCCCACUGAGCUAAGCAGGAUGGGCUUGUGGUGUGUGCAUCUGUCCUCUCAAACCGAAUGAAAUGCUCUCUGGCAUUGCAUAAUCAGCAGCAAAUCUUCCUCCUCAAGGCUUAUGAAGAAAAGACCUUGAACCCAGUCUUCUGGUGGCUCUAGUAAAGACAGAUUUGGUGACGGCCUAGAAGAUUUCAUUAACAAAGGAUGGCCAAUACAUUACAAUCAAAGAAAAAGCUGGGCAUUGCUUUCUCAGAUGAUAUGGUUCUUUUCCACUUUAAUUCACAUGAUUCCUAAAGCAUCUGGCUUUCCUCUAUUUUAUUUUAGGAAUUCCAUAUAUAACUAAAAUAACCUACAAGCACCUCGACAUUUUGCUAACAAAAAAAAUACUUUUUAUUAUUUUUGAAAUCAACUGAUUCCACAGUUUAAAACACAGUGGGGAAAAAAAAGCCUAUUCAUGCUGUAGGUGUCUUUAUGGGAAAAAAUUCAGAGAAUUCUGAUAGCUCUGAAAGAGAUAGGAAAACAGAAAAAUAAUGACCCCAGGGAAAGAUAUUAUAUUUUUAAAACAAGUUGAAAUAUCUUCAAGAUACUAAUUGUGGUCUCUUUCUUUAAAGUAUGUGGUCAUUUGGGGAAUAGGGAGGGAAUGCAUGUGUGUGGCGGGAGGGUUUAAUCAGCUUGAUAAAGCUCCUCGGUUUAUUCCAGUUGGGCUGAGUCCAGUUGAGAUUAGGAAGGAACAGAAAGGUUUCUCUAUAGAACAAUUAGUGGGGUAUGAGGAAUAUUCAGUUGUGGUUUUUAGUUUUCAUAAAUCUCAAGCAAAAUGAAGAAAUAACAAUGACAAAAUAAAUACAACCAAACAUUCAAAGACUCAUAUCUGCAUUUUUACAAGAUUUUGGAGACAGCAAAAUCAUAUUUGGGACUCACUUCUCUGGACCCUGAUAUACAGUAUGCUUGCUCUCAAAUGUAGAAUUCAGAUUUCUUCCAAGGUCCCUGGGCAUUCUAGGAGCAAAGGCACAUUCAGAUGCAGGGACCAGACCAGUUUCCUAAGUUUCCAUGCAUCCAUGAGUUUUGGUUUAUAGUGAAAAAUGUUAUCUUUAAAAUUCCAGACAUUUCUAGGCAAGCUGUUAGCAUGAAAGUUGCUGUUUCUUCCCUUUCGAAUUCACCUUGAAGCAAGCAACAGAAUAUGCAGAAAAGAGGAAAAGAAAUCUUUAUCAACAUGAGUGAAUAGUAAAGGGUGUCAUCCACAUGCUGGACAGUUGGGUAUUUGGUUAGAUGUAAUGCAACCAGUAUAUAGUGGAAUGAGCAAACUGUUGUAAAAAUACUGAAAUACUUUUAUACUGGUUGUCAUACAGGUACUUCCUGGAGUGUCUUGAGUGCUCUCAUGCUGUCCUUGAUAUCCAGGUGGUUACCUCCUUUGGAAACCCUUGAGUCUCCCCAUGGACCAGCAAAUGACAAGAUAAUGCUUGGCAGAGUAUAGUGAUAUCUAGAGUCUGACUUCAGUAUUACAGUUAAUGUUCAUUCUAAUUGUCCGAGCUGUUAAAUUAUAGUUUAAAUGUCAGCACUCUUGAUUUGACAGCUGAGAUGGUGUAUGAGGGAAGUAUUAUUGUUAUUUAGUGUUUAUCUUCCCAAAACAAUAUCUGCUUCUUUGUGAGAACUGCUUUCUGCCUACAUCAAAUAUGAAGUUCUGAUGGGGGAUGACAAAUAGCUCAUUAUUCCUUUGGCUACAGUAAUUGGUUGGUUCAGGGAUGGCCCUUUAACUCAAGCCAGGCCAAUAAAAUAAUUUGUUGGUGUAUUUGUUAUUUUUUAACAGGAGCUGCCACUGUUAGGUUACAAAAUAGAGGAUACUGGAAUUCUCCACAACAAUGAUCCUACCACAUGAAGGAAUUUGUCUAAAAAUAAAUAAAUAAGUAAAGGUAUACACCAGGAGAAGCAGAGUUAGAGAUUCCAGGGAAGUCCUCAGAAUGCUGAGUACCUGGGUCUAGUUGUUUAUACAGAUCCCAUUCUGUCCCCAUCCUUUCUGAUCCUGUUAUAGUUUGAUUUGGAUAUUUGUUACUUUCAAUAAAAAAGUCUUUACAUAAGAAGUAAAUGAGAGGGAAUCCUAGGAGACCCCCUGUGAAUACUCCAGGUGGAGAGGGCACUGGCCUCCAUAGAGAGGCAACAUUUGUUCCCCAUGAGCAAUGCAAGGAAGCACAGAGCAUAGUUCCUGGUGGAAGUGGUCACACCUACCCAAGACAUGGACAUGGGUCCUGUGUCCCCCAUCUGUGCUGAGAUGGAGCUUUCAGCUGUAACUCAGAUAUGACGUCUUCUGCUUCCUGACUCCAUAUGCUAGGUAUUUGGGUUGGUAAUCUAUUGUGGGGUUGUGUGGGCUUUUUUUUUUCCUGCUUUAAUAUCUUUAAUCUGUGUGGAGUUUCUUCUAUUAGUUUCUGCCAGAAAGAUGCAGACCAGGUUUUCACAAAUCCCAACUUAAAUCCUGAAUAUGGAGCCAAUGUCAGAUAACAUUGUCAACCUUAUUGUGUGCUGGGUGCUGUAAUUUGCAUGCAUUGCCUCAUUUAAUCCAUGUAAGGAUUUUAUGAGGUAGUACUGAUAUUCCGACUAUUUUACAGAUGGAGAAACAGGUGAGGAAAGGCCACAGAGCUAAAAAGUGCUGGAGUCAUAACUGGAACCCCAGCUAUCUGACCCCUUAUUUGUAUUGUUACACUAUGAAUAAAGUUUUUAAAAUAUAUAUAUUUUUAAUAGAGAGUAGCCCCAAGAAAGCACUAAACUUCUGGAGCUUAAUUUUCGGGGAAGCCUCCAUUCUAACCUUGUCCAUUCUGUUGCAUUCCCCGUGAGCAUCCUUAAUCUAGUUUGAGCUGGGUUUUUGGCUAUUUUCAACUUUCAACCCCAAAGUGCUUGGCUAAAUAGAGAAUGGAAGGAGACUUUGAAGGCUUGCAUGAAUACUUAAGGCAGAGAGGUGAACACCAGCUGCAAGGCAAAAGAAGGGAGAUUUCUUCCUGCGAGCGGCUAGGCGAGGCAAGAUGGCAGACCUCUGAGGGCCUUCUGCCUGUCAGGAGGUGGCUGAAAUACCCUGACAGCUCAGAACUGUUUGCUUGAAGUAACUUCACUGUACGAAAAUAAGAACAUUUGAGAAAGUAUUUGAUGAGUAUUCCAAACUCAGUAGGGGAGUAGAAGCAGUGAAGUAAUGGGAGCAAAUUAUGUAUACAUGUGUUAAAACAUUACAUUAUAUCCCAUAAAUAGGUGCCGUUGUUAUGUGUCAAUUAUUAAAAGAAAAAAAAAAAACCA